rnacentral:rRNA from 1 species
GAUGAACGCUGGCGGCGUGCCUAAUACAUGCAAGUCGAGCGAACAGACGAGGAGCUUGCUCCUCUGACGUUAGCGGCGGACGUGUGAGUAACACGUGGAUAACCUACCUAUAAUACUGGGAUAACUACGGGAAACCGGCGCUAAUACCGGAUAAUAUAUUGAACCGCAUGGUUCAAUAGUGAAAGACGGUUUUGCUGUCACUUCUCGAUGGAUCCGCGCCGCAUUAGCUAGUUGGUAAGGUAACGGCUUACCACGGCAACGAUGCGUAGCCGACCUGAUAGGGGGAUCGGCCACACUGGAACUGAGACACGGUCCAGACUCCUACGGGAGGCAGCAGUAGGGAAUCUUCCGCAAUGGGCGAAAGCCUGACGGAGCAACGCCGCGUGAGUGAUGAAGGUCUUCGGAUCGUAAAACUCUGUUAUUAGGUAAGAACAAAUGUGUAAGUAACUAUGCACGUCUUGACGGUACCUAAUCAGAAAGCCACGGCUAACUACGUG